rnacentral:rRNA from 1 species
GACGAACGCUGGCGGCGUGCCUAACACAUGCAAGUCGAACGGAGUUAAGAGAGCUUGCUUUCUUGACUUAGUGGCGAACGGGUGAGUAACGCGUGAGGAAUCUGCCUUUCAGUGGGGGAUAACAGUUGGAAACAGCUGCUAAUACCGCAUAAUGCAACGGAAUCGCAUGACUCUGUUGCCAAAAGAUUUAUCGCUCUGAGAUGGCCUCGCGUCUGAUUAGCUAGUUGGCGGGGUAACGGCCCACCAAGGCGACGAUCAGUAGCCGGACUGAGAGGUUGGCUGGCCACAUUGGGACUGAGACACGGCCCAG